CUAACUUUAGAUUCUGAGCACUGUGGUGGACAUCGACAUCCGGCGACCGGUGCGUCGAGAGGUGGCUGUUAUGGCGGCGGCCAAUGGUGCGGCGCAACGGCGACCGGUGCGUGACGUGAGAGGGAGUUGAGCAGAGAGUAAAAGAGAGAGUGUGAAAGAGAAAGCGGCGACCUGUAACUCCGCCUUCGCCGGUGAACUGAGAGGGAGGCCG
rnacentral:lncRNA from 1 species